CCUCAGCUCUUCCAGAAGAAAGACCACGGGAGACACAAGAUUAAGGUUCUCUUUCUGGCUCUUCUCCUUGGUCUGGUUUGUGCCGCCCAAGAAGAGGAAGCUGAGCAAAGUCUCUCAGAGUUAAGGUAAAUGAUAUUGAAGCUGAAACCUUGAAGAAGUUCAAUGAGUUGGUAAAAGAAAAGAAGAUUGAAGAUAAAAAUGUUUUGAAGAUCAUUGAGACUGAUGGUGUUAACGAGGACCACUUCUGCUGAAGCCAUGCACCCAUGCGUGUGACUGAAUGACCUUUGGCUCUGGAGCCAAGAUCCUUCACAGGCCCAGCUGGAAAUAAAUCGCUGACAAACUUCGUCA
rnacentral:lncRNA from 1 species